rnacentral:rRNA from 1 species
AAGUCGAGCGAACAGACGAGGAGCUUGCUCCUCUAACGUUAGCGGCGGACGGGUGAGUAACACGUGGAUAACCUACCUAUAAGACUGGGAUAACUUCGGGAAACCGGAGCUAAUACCGGAUAAUAUAUUGAACCGCAUGGUUCAAUAGUGAAAGACGGUUUUGCUGUCACUUAUAGAUGGAUCCGCGCCGCAUUAGCUAGUUGGUGAGGUAACGGCUUACCAAGGCAACGAUGCGUAGCCGACCUGAGAGGGUGAUCGGCCACACUGGAACUGAGACACGGUCCAGACUCCUACGGGAGGCAGCAGUAGGGAAUCUUCCGCAAUGGGCGAAAGCCUGACGGAGCAACGCCGCGUGAGUGAUGAAGGUCUUCGGAUCGUAAAACUCUGUUAUUAGGGAAGAACAAAUGUGUAAGUAACUAUGCACGUCUUGACGGUACCUAAUCAGAAAGCCACGGCUAACUACGUGCCAGCAGCCGCGGUAAUACGUAGGUGGCAAGCGUUAUCCGGAAUUAUUGGGCGUAAAGCGCGCGUAGGCGGUUUUUUAAGUCUGAUGUGAAAGCCCACGGCUCAACCGUGGAGGGUCAUUGGAAACUGGAAAACUUGAGUGCAGAAGAGGGAAGUGGAAUUCCAUGUGUAGCGGUGAAAUGCGCAGAGAUAUGGAGGAACACCAGUGGCGAAGGCGACUUUCUGGUCUGUAACUGACGCUGAUGUGCGAAAG